GUAGGUGGCAAGCGUUGUCCGGAAUUAUUGGGCGUAAAGCGCGCGCAGGGCGGUCCUUUAAGUCUGAUGUGAAAGCCCACGGCUCAACCGUGGAGGGUUAUUGGAAACUGGGGGACUUGAGUACAGAAGAGGAAAGCGGAAUUCCAAGUGUAGCGGUGAAAUGCGUAGAGAUUUGGAGGAACACCAGUGGCGAAGGCGGCUUUCUGGUCUGUAACUGACGCUGAGGCGCGAAAGCGUGGGGAGCAAACAGGAUUAGAUACCCUGGUAGUCCACGCCGUAAACGAUGAGUGCUAAGUGUUAGGGGGUUUCCGCCCCUUAGUGCUGCAGCUAACGCAUUAAGCACUCCGCCUGGGGAGUACGGCCGCAAAGGCUG
rnacentral:rRNA from 1 species